rnacentral:rRNA from 1 species
UCGCGGUAAUACGUAGAAGACUAGUGUUAUUCAUCUUUAAUAGGUUUAAAGGGUACCUAGACGGUAAAUCAAGCCUUCAAGGGACUAAUUUACUAGAGUUACUUGUGAGGGGGUAUUAAAGUACUGCUGGUGUAGAGAUGAAAUUCUGUCAUACCUAUCUGUAAUAGAAUAAUGGCACAGGUAUAGGCGAAAGCAUCCCCUUAUGUGAUAACUGACGUUGAAGGACGAAGGCUUUGUGUCGCGAACAGGAUUAGAUACCCCAGUAGUCAAAGCAGAAAAAUGAUGAGUGUCAUAGAUUAGACAUAUA